rnacentral:lncRNA from 1 species
UCGGCCUCCCAAAGUGCUGGGAUCACAAGCGUGAGCCAUCGCAAAUACAAAUAUUCAUUAAACGUAUAGGCUGUCUACUUACUCUAUGACCUUUCUACCUAGACUAAAGCCAAAAAACUCUGACACCCUAAAAGAUUCAUAAAUUAUUUACUACAUAAGGUUUAGAUGCAUCAUUACCAAUAUUGCACAUAGAAAUUUAAUGUUGUUAGUUGAGCAAACAGAUGCCAUGACUAUUUCUUCUCUUUAUAAAUCUUGGUGGCUUAUGGCAGCAGAAGCCUACUCCACUAUUUAGGCUCCUAUGACAGCUACUUUUCCCCUGUUGAGAAAGUUUCACCUUAAGUUGCUACCAAAAAAAUUAUACAAUUAAUGUAUUUUGUAACUCCUGAAAAUAAUUGUUUAUAUUAUCAUCUCAAGUAAAAUAAAAUAUUUUCAUAGAGAGAUGGAGAGAUGUGUAGGCAAUUUAUCAAAUAUUAACCUCUUCCUAAACAUGGGGUUGAAUUCCUCCCGUAACAUUGUAACGUUGUUAGAAUUAUGUGAAAGGGGGCUUUGUCUCAACUAUCCUGCUAGUCAUUCAUUCAACAGCAAUCUAUUUAUGUUGUAUGUUUCCCUAAAUGUUUCCAUUUUUGCCUCCAAACACUGCUAAUUUGGUUUGGUUGCUAUUUAUUUUAUACUGUCUUAUAAAUCCCCUGGAAAGUGUAUUGCCCCAUGCCUGCACACACUGCAGUACAAGAGUGUACUGAAGUACAUAAUGGAAGGGUUGGUUUUUUCUGCCACUCCAUCGCUUGAGUUUAAAUAAUAAGGAAACACAGAGAUCUAAAACAUUUUGAACAGUUAAGAAUUAUUAAAAGAAAGUAGAAUGACAAACAGGAAAAUUAUCUAUCCACAUCUAUAUAUGUAUAUCUUUCUAGAAAUGUCCUAUAAGGACAAAAGAGGAAAAAAUGAAGGGAAAAUUAUGAACCCUUGAAUAUGAGUCCUUCUGAGCAAAACUCUGUUCUUAGCAUUUCUCCACUAUUAUCAAGUUUCUAGUAUCCUCCAAGAAAAUACCAUAUUAUCAUCCUGGAACUUUGGUAGUAUAUACCUGUCCUUUCUAUCCCUAUCUACAGAGACCUGUCUGAUUUAGAUUCUAAACUGACCUUCCUCAUUUUUUUUUUUUUUGAGACAAUAUUGCUCUGUUGCCUAUGGUGGAGUUUAGUGGUGUAAUCUAGCCUCACUGCAACGUUUGCCUCCAGGAUUCAAGUAAUUCUCAUGCCUCAGCCACCUGAGUAGGUGGAAUUAGAAGUGUUCCUCAUUUUUAAAACUCUAGAACACAGAAAUUUUAUUUGUCUCCCAAAGUCCAAAAAUUUAACAAUAAAAGAAAAAUUAAGAGUCAGCUUUGAUAUCCUGACAUACAGUCUUCUUUGAGAUAUUAAUACCUUUUAUAAUAAAAAUGAAUGGGUAUUUUUAUGACUUUUUAGUAAGAAAAUAGUGAACCAAACCUGCUUGCACACAUUUAUAUUUACAUAAUUCUCAAAGACAAAUAUUUAAUUAUAGAAACGGUAUAUAUACAUAUGUACACACAUACAUACAUUAGUGACUCAUAUUCAAGGACUCAUAUUCUAGGGUUCAUAGUUUUCCCUUCUAUAUAUAUAUAUAUAUACACAUUAUAUAUAUACAUACACAGACACAUGUAUAUACACAUAUAAAAUACUAAAAAAUGUUUAAAAGUUAACUUGUAAAUCUUACAUUCAGAUAUUCUGAUUUACCGUGUCUAUAUCAAGACUCAAUAUGGUUUUGUAAAAGUAAACACUCCAAGUAGUUUCGAUGCAAGUCAUCUAAAUCACUCAUUAAAAAAAUUGUGGCUCAUAAGUGUUCAUUAACAAAUAAAUGGAUAAAGAAAAUAUGGUAUAUAUACCCAAAGGAAUACUACAGCGCCAUAAAAAGAAUCAAAUCAUGUUAUUUGCAGAAACAUGAAUGAAACAAUAGGUCCUUAUGUUAAGUGAAACAAGCCAAGCAUAGAAUGACAAAUAUUGCAUAUUCUCACUCAUUUGUGGGAGCUAAAAAGUCUGAUCUCAGUAAGGUAGAGAGUAGAAUGAUGGUUAACAGAGGCUGGGAAGGAGGCAGGAUGAAGAUAGAUAUUGGUUAAUGGGUGCACAUGUAGAGUUAUAUAGAAGCGAUAAGUUCUAGUGUUCAAUAGCACACAAGAGUGAUUAUACUUAGCAAUAAUUUAUUGCCUAUUUCAAAAUAUUCAGAAGAAAAGACUUAAAAUGUCCCCAACACAUACACACGAAAUAAAUGUUGGAGGUAGUGGAUAUCCUAAUUACCAUGAUUUGGCCAUUAUGCAUUGUAUGCAUGCGUCGAAACAUCACAUGAACCCCAUAAAUAUGUACAAUCAAUAUGUAUCAAUUCACAAAGACGGAAAGAUGGAAAUGUUUUCGUUUAUAAAAACAAGGAUGGAAAAAAACAUCCUUACCUAAAUACUGUCCACAAUGUCACCGGUGCUUUGCAUCAUUCAGGUGAGCGAUGUUAGUCUCCCUUCUACUUAUCCCCGGGGUUUAAUUUGCACCAAGAUUGUUGUCUGCACAAAGAUUCAAUAGUAUACAGAAAAUCUUAUGGUGACCCAGAGAAGAUGUGAAAUGAUUAUAGUUUUAUGCCUUAGAUGAUGUUGCAUUUCUAGCCAUGGCAACACAUCCCCAGAAACUUUUCUGUAAUUAAAAUGGAAAUACUAUAUAAUUUAUCAUUUCAUUAUAAAAGUAGUUACUCUAUAUGUGGAAGGUUUUGGUGGUGUAAUUUCCCCAGAUAUGUAUAUCAAUAUGUGCGAGCAAAUGCUUGUAAGUAAAAACAGAUAAGAUAAUUUUAUAUUCUAUAUGAUGUUAAGAGUGUUAAGCCAGAGCAAAAUUUCAUUUUGAAUAUGGUAACCCUGGAUUUGUUGUUUCAAUCUGGAUUUUAUAUUUUAGAUAGGGUUAAUUAAUCAGAAAAUAGAUCACUCUUACUGCCUCUUCUGAAAUUUUAACAAAUAGUUUUGUUAUCUGUUAAAUAUCAGCAUCUUUAAAGUCUUUGGAGAGACUCUUUUCAGUUUCAGUAAAGCAUUAGUGUUUGUACACUAAUGUAUGUUUGUCAGGUUUAUUUAUUUAUUUAUUGACCUCAGUGCAGGAAAAUUUCACCCCAGGGGGUCUUACAUUAUUUUUCUACUCCAAAAUACAUAGGCUACACAGAACAACAUCAUUAGCAACAUUGUUUCAGCAAGGAAAUAAUCCUUAUUGGCAAAGGGAAACCAAGGAAAGAAAACUAUUGUUUUCUUCGGCUACAUGCUGUCUGCAAAGCACCCCAUGGAUUCAAUUUCUCAUCAAUUCAGAAUGGAAUACUAACGUGCUGCCUAGAGAUACAGAAGUGGGAUGAACGCAGGGCCUUACUCAGCAUUCAGAACAAAACUGAUGGUGCUAGCAUAUAUAAGACUGAAACACCAAAGUCCUCCGUGGAAGUUAAUGAAUUUCUAAUAGUGAAAUAAGGUGGCCAAGGAGGCAGAGAUGGAGUCAGGGACUCUGUGAUCAACCCUGAGGAUUGGGAAGGAACUAUACAUACCAGGAGGCAAGGAGCACUGGGGGCCCUCCUGGAACUGCCUGUCACAGCGUCCUCAAAGGAUGGAACAGAUUAUUUCUACAGAAACCCUAAGUUUUAAAAAGAAAAAAUGCACAACAUUCCCAGAAGACCAGCAGCAGGAGCGACAUUCCACAACCUUGAAUUUAAGGUGCUUCCUGUUUACUUCUCUGUGAAUUAUCAUUGCCACCUCUGUGAAAUCACCUAGCCACAUGAGGUAGCAAAGCUGCCUGCCACCCAACGGGCUGCAGGGAGUUCUUCAAAGAAAGAGGGAGAAAGAGUGAGAAAGAAAGAUUAUGGAAAUUCACUCAUAUGAUUACGGGAGUCAAAAAGUCCCACCAUCUGCCUUCUUCAAGCUGGAGAACCAGGAAAGUCAGUGGUGUAAUUCAGUCCAAGUCCAAAGGCCUGAGAACCACGGGAGCCAAUGGUAUAAGUCCCAGUCUGAAGCCAAAGGCCUGAGAACCACUGGCAGGAGGGCAGAGGAGUCUUGCUGGUAUAAGACCCAUAAUCCAAAGGACUGAGAACCAGGAAGCUUUGAUGUCCAAGAGAAGGAGAAGAUGGAUAUCCUUGCUCAUGCUUCUUCUGCCUUUUAUUCCUAUUUGAGCCCACAACAGAUUGGAUGAUGUCUGCCCACUUUAGUGAGGGAAGAUUUUUUUUACCCGGUCUACUUAUUCAAAUGUUAAUAUCUUCUGGAGAUCCUCAUACAGACACACCCAGAAAUAAUGUUUUACCAGCAAUCUGGGCAUCCUCAGCCCAGUCAGGGUGACACAUAAAAUUAGCCCUUACAACAUUACUGCCAUUUUACAAUACAGUGGCAAUGUAUGAAAACGCUAGGUCCCCUACAUUCUUGGCAAUACUUGGUAUGGUCAGUCUUUUUCGUUUUAAUCAUUCUAAUGGGAAUGCUGUAAUAUCUCAUUGUGGUUUAAUUUGUAUUUUCCUCAUGAUAAUGAUAAAGAAUAUCUUUACAUGUGCUCAUUUGUCAUCAAUAUAUUUUCUUUAGAGAAGUAUCUGUUCAAUUUUUUUGUCCAAUUUUCAAUUGAGUUGUCUUCUUAUUAAGUUGUAAGAGUAGUAUGUCAUUAUACAAAUAUAUCACAUAUGUCACACAAAGGAUAUACAUAUAUAAUAUUGUCAAAUUUGUGUUUUGUGAAUAUUUUCUCCAACUCUGUAGUUUGCCCUUUCAUUUUUUAACAGUCUUUUAAAAAGCAAAUGUUUUAACUUUGAUAAAUUCCAAUUGAUUGAUUUUUCUUCUA